rnacentral:rRNA from 1 species
AGAUUGAACGCUGGCGGCAUGCCUUACACAUGCAAGUCGAACGGCAGCACGGGAGCAAUCCUGGUGGCGAGUGGCGAACGGGUGAGUAAUAUAUCGGAACGUGCCCAGUCGUGGGGGAUAACGCAGCGAAAGCUGUGCUAAUACCGCAUACGAUCUAUGGAUGAAAGCGGGGGAUCGCAAGACCUCGCGCGAUUGGAGCGGCCGAUAUCAGAUUAGCUAGUUGGGUAGGGGUAAAAGCCCUACCAAGGCGACGAUCUGUAGCUUGGUCUGAGAGGACGACCAGCCACACUGGAACUGAGACACGGUCCAGACU